rnacentral:tRNA from 1 species
AGCUCAGUGGCCCAAUGGUAAAGCGCUUGCCGCGGAGCCAGAGGGUCCUGGGUUCGAUCCCCGACGGGGUCG